GAUAAACGCUGGCGGCGUGCCUAAUACAUGCAAGUCGAGCGAACGGACGAGAAGCUUGCUUCUCUGAUGUUAGCGGCGGACGGGUGAGUAACACGUGGAUAACCUACCUAUAAGACUGGGAUAACUUCGGGAAACCGGAGCUAAUACCGGAUAAUAUUUUGAACCGCAUGGUUCAAAAGUGAAAGACGGUCUUGCUGUCACUUAUAGAUGGAUCCGCGCUGCAUUAGCUAGUUGGUAAGGUAACGGCUUACCAAGGCAACGAUGCAUAGCCGACCUGAGAGGGUGAUCGGCCACACUGGAACUGAGACACGGUCCAGACUCCUACGGGAGGCAGCAGUAGGGAAUCUUCCGCAAUGGGCGAAAGCCUGACGGAGCAACGCCGCGUGAGUGAUGAAGGUCUUCGGAUCGUAAAACUCUGUUAUUAGGGAAGAACAUAUGUGUAAGUAACUGUGCACAUCUUGACGGUACCUAAUCAGAAAGCCACGGCUAACUACGUGCCAGCAGCCGCGGUAAUACGUAGGUGGCAAGCGUUAUCCGGAAUUAUUGGGCGUAAAGCGCGCGUAGGCGGUUUUUUAAGUCUGAUGUGAAAGCCCACGGCUCAACCGUGGAGGGUCAUUGGAAACUGGAUAACUUGAGUGCAGAAGAGGAAAGUGGAAUUCCAUGUGUAGCGGUGAAAUGCGCAGAGAUAUGGAGGAACACCAGUGGCGAAGGCGACUUUCUGGUCUGUAACUGACGCUGAUGUGCGAAAGCGUGGGGAUCAAACAGGAUUAGAUACCCUGGUAGUCCACGCCGUAAACGAUGAGUGCUAAGUGUUAGGGGGUUUCCGCCCCUUAGUGCUGCAGCUAACGCAUUAAGCACUCCGCCUGGGGAGUACGACCGCAAGGUUGAAACUCAAAGGAAUUGACGGGGACCCGCACAAGCGGUGGAGCAUGUGGUUUAAUUCGAAGCAACGCGAAGAACCUUACCAAAUCUUGACAUCCUUUGACAACUCUAGAGAUAGAGCCUUCCCCUUCGGGGGACAAAGUGACAGGUGGUGCAUGGUUGUCGUCAGCUCGUGUCGUGAGAUGUUGGGUUAAGUCCCGCAACGAGCGCAACCCUUAAGCUUAGUUGCCAUCAUUAAGUUGGGCACUCUAAGUUGACUGCCGGUGACAAACCGGAGGAAGGUGGGGAUGACGUCAAAUCAUCAUGCCCCUUAUGAUUUGGGCUACACACGUGCUACAAUGGACAAUACAAAGGGCAGCGAAACCGCGAGGUCAAGCAAAUCCCAUAAAGUUGUUCUCAGUUCGGAUUGUAGUCUGCAACUCGACUACAUGAAGCUGGAAUCGCUAGUAAUCGUAGAUCAGCAUGCUACGGUGAAUACGUUCCCGGGUCU
rnacentral:rRNA from 1 species